rnacentral:rRNA from 1 species
UACGGAGGGAGCUAGCGUUAUUCGGAAUUACUGGGCGUAAAGCGUACGUAGGCGGCUUUGCAAGUUAGAGGUGAAAGCCUGGAGCUCAACUCCAGAACUGCCUUUAAAACUGCAUCGCUUGAAUCCAGGAGAGGUGAGUGGAAUUCCGAGUGUAGAGGUGAAAUUCGUAGAUAUUCGGAAGAACACCAGUGGCGAAGGCGGCUCACUGGCCCGGUACUGACGCUGAGGCACGAAAGCGUGGGGAGCAAACAGG